AGAGUUUGAUCCUGGCUCAGAGCGAACGCUGGCGGCGUGCUUAACACAUGCAAGUCGAACGGGUUCAGGGGGCAACUCCUGGACUAGUGGCGAACGGGUGAGUAACACGUGGGUAAUCUUCCCCCGAGUGAGGAAUAAGCUUGCGAAAGCGGGUCUAAUACCGCAUAACGUUCUGAGACGAAUGUCUUAGAACCAAAGCCGUAAGGCGCUUGGGGAUGAGCCUGCGUCCUAUUAGCUAGUUGGUAGGGUAAUGGCCUACCAAGGCGAUGAUGGGUAGCCGGCCUGAGAGGGUGAACGGCCACACUGGAACUGAGACACGGUCCAGACUCCUACGGGAGGCAGCAGUGAGGAAUUUUGCGCAAUGGGCGAAAGCCUGACGCAGCGACGCCGCGUGGAGGAAGACGGCCUUCGGGUUGUAAACUCCUGUCAGAGGUGAAGAAUGCCCGCAAGGGCUUGACGGUAACCUCAGAGGAAGCCCCGGCUAACUACGUGCCAGCAGCCGCGGUAAU
rnacentral:rRNA from 1 species